rnacentral:rRNA from 1 species
UACAGAGGUGGCAAGCGUUGUUCGGAAUUACUGGGCGUAAAGGGCGCGUAGGCGGCGCAACAAGUCACUUGUGAAAUCUCCGGGCUUAACCCGGAGCGGUCAAGUGAUACUGUCGUGCUAGAGUGCGGAAGGGGCUACUGGAAUUCUCGGUGUAGCGGUGAAAUGCGUAGAUAUCGAGAGGAACACCUGCGGCGAAGGCGGGUAGCUGGGCCGACACUGACGCUGAUGCGCGAAAGCCAGGGGAGCGAACAGG